GGGCUGGCUUCGCAGCACAUAGACUAACACUGGAACGAUACAGAGAUUAGCAUGGUCCCUGCGCAAGGACGACACAGAAAUUCGUGAAGUGUUCCAGAUUAAA